AUCUAAACAGAGACACAAGGCGAAAGAAGGCAGAGUCGGGAAGAUGCCAGUGGCUGGAGGAGUAAGAUGCCUACAGGGGAGUAACCACAGAGUGUCACCUGAUUAUCGAGAAUUCUGAACUACUGGAAGAUCACUCAGCAAGGUGUUAGUGUGUGCCACGACCCAGGAGGUGGAAGCAGGAGGACUCAGAGUCCCGGGCUAGCCUGUGCUAGUCAGUGAGAACAGAGCAACAACAACACAUCAAGAUGAUUUUCCUAUACUGCUCUCCUGCAUACUGCUGGGCUAGAUUAUGUGGUCCCAAACAUAGCAAAAUCACUGAAUUAUUCCAGAGCAGCCGGUGACUGUUAGGACUUUUAGAGUGCCCAUUUUGGAUAAACUGAGUGAAGCCAGUAGUUCAGCACAUUAACCUUCCAACCGAACCACUUGCAUGUUAACGCUCCGCCUGAAUGUGCGGACAGACAGCAGUUACUACGACAGACAUUUGCUGCAUUUCCGUGACGAUUCUGUGUCUGUUCCAGAAGGAAGGAAGCUGAAUGCUAUAAUAUAAUGUAGCUGGCAGCUUCGUCUCCUCAUGAAAGUGGACCUAAGUCCCAACGAUGCUCACCACAGAACUCAGUCCAGUGCCCACCCCCAGCUCCAGCCGGCAAGCACAGUGCCAAGUCGGCUCUCAGAUUUAUACAUCAGUAAUGCCGAGAAUAUUGCAGGGUUUCUCCACGUGGCGUAGAAAUUCCAUUUCUGACCAUUCUCUCUUCCUUCAAGGACAAACGAAAGAGCCUCUGUCUUCAGGGGCUACCACAGGCAGCUCUCCAUUUGCUCUCCAGGAGAGGUACCGAGACCAGAGCAUGCUCAAUAUUUCACCAAUAGUCACUGUGGUGGGUAAUUCUGACUGUCGGUUUGACUGCUUUGAGAGGCAUCUAAGAGACCAAUAAAGCAGACCUCUGGGUACCUGUCAGUUUCCUGAGAGCAUUAACUAAGGAAGAAAGACCACUCUGAAGCACCUCACUGUCUGGUGUCCAGAUGCCAUGCAAAUGAAGAGUAGAAAGAAAAGGGACAAGAGCAGAGUCGGGUCCCCCCCACUUCUCUCUCUGCUUUCUCCCCCUCCCCCUGCCCCGCCAUGGGUGUGGGUGUAUGUAUAGUAUAGAUGUGUGUGCUUUCUCCCCCUGCCCCCGCCAUGGGUGUGGGUGUAUUUAUAGUAUAGAUGUGUGUGCUUUCUGGCUGCCAAGAUCUGAACUUCUCUGGUCUGCCAUCCCCCCCCACCCCCCCCCCCCGCACACACACCCCAGGAGGGAAUAAAACACCUGAAACUGCCAGCCAAAAUGAAUGCCCUCCCUUAGGUUGGCCUCCUCUCCCCUCCCUUCCUUAGAUAUUUUUAUCAUAGCCACAAAGACUCUGCCUACGGACUGUCUGCUUUACAUACACAAGCAGCAAUCACAAGCCACUGAGGCCAUUUAUCAAGGAAGGGACAACUUACAGCAGGACAUACAGGUAAACCCCAACCCCCUAGUCGGCGGCAGUGCCGCUUGACAGGACUGGGAAGCAGGACAUUAAGAUAUCCCUUCAAAAUGGUUUUUGGGGUGCUUGUCAUUUUGACACUGAGAAGAUAAACUAAAAUUCCUUCACUAAAAUUCACUUUCCAGCCAGUGAAUGAGGCACCCUGCAAGGACCGCCAGGGACGAUUUUCCCCUGCUGUAAGACAGAUAUUAAACUAGCUCCACGCAGUCUCCAGACUCCCGUGGCUCGCUUUUGUAAAACACA